GAAAAUUGAUAAUUAAUGAUUUAGAAAUUAGUUUUGUCUUUCAUUAAUUUUAAAUAUCCAACAUGUGACUCUACUAAUAAUUUUAGAAAAUUAAUUGUCACCAUUGCUUCCAUUUCCAUACACAUAGUUACUUUUGCAGAGUAUAGUAUGAAAGUGCAUGUUUUAUGUUGUAAUUUGCUUGUUCCUACCUAAAAUUACAUCAACCAUUCUUCGUUAAUCUAAGCCUAACAUUUUUUCUUUCCUUUAAAAAAGGAUACAUAUGCUUCACAAUUGUAACCUAUCUACCUAAUGUUUAGUAUACUUUUUCCUACAUAAAACACUAGCUAACAUACUAUACUCUGCAAAAAUAAUUAAGUGUAAGCAUGGAAAUGGAAACGUUGGUAGAAUUUAGCAAUGGUCACAAUUUUCAAAGUUAGGUACUCGCACAUGGAUUGCAAAUAAUUGAUGGUCAAGAAUUUUCAAUGUAAAUUCGGUAUGUAUACACAUCACCUCAUGCAUCUUUAGGAGCUUAGAGAUACAGUAGAUUUCGUUAGUAAAAUUUCUCCUUAUAAAUAAAGGCCUCACACCCUCACAAUUCUUCACACCUCUCUCUCUCUUGCAAUUCUUCACACAACAAACACCUCUCUCUUCACCUCUUUCUGUCUCUCUCUGAGUAUUGUGAUGGCGACGAUGUGGAUGAUUGUGUGCGCGAUAAUUUUGGUGAUCGUCGGCGGCGCCGAGGGCGAGCAACCGGCAUGCGACAAGGGAGGCAGGUGGUGUGAAAAAUUAAUUUUGGCAAUGGGUGAGCGGCAACAGCCAUCGUCGCCGGAGUUCCGGUGACCAUUUUUUGGGAGGACCGGUUGAAGAAUUGCAAGUGAUGCCACCAGAGAGCAACCCGACCCGACUCCAAAUGGAUACGGAAUCACUACGUUUCCACAUCGGGUAGGGCAACCAGAUCCCUAGGUUGAUGCUACUAAAAGACAAGUGCACAAGCGAAUUCAUUUGAUGAAUUUGAAUUAAUGCGAAGCUCAAGAGGAGUAUGCAAUUCAUGCAUGCAUCUCAACUUCAAAACCUAUAUUUAUAAUAAAAAUAUAAGACGGUUUGAGGAAAUGACUUACCUAACGCGUUCUGAUUUCGUUUUGCUCCUCUUGAUAAAAUGAAACACUCUCCUCUUUAGUAAAGGGACCGGUCAUUAAUUCAUUUUAAUUUUCAUUUCAUGGAAAUGUAAUUCUUUCACCAGUCACAUCACAUGCAUUAAUAAUUUUCAAUUUACUACUUUUGGCAAAUUCAUUUUCACAAUGCAAACUAACAUCUUAGCCAA